GUCUGAGUGAGAGAGAGCAGAAAAAUGUUACACCCACCACCUUCCAGAGGGCAAAGAGCCUCCAACGGCGCGCGCUUGCCGUGCUGUGAGGUGUCUCCUGGUAACGCUGCCUUGAUAUGAUCAACACUGCAGCUACUGCUUCUCAGCAUCUCAGCAUUGCUAUAAAGCAUAUGCUUGCCUGCACACCAACGCCUGCUCCCUCUUCAGCUCCUGGAAACCCACCUGGGGCUAAACGUGGGGUGCCGGCAAGGAGCCGUGGCACAGCAGUAGCUGUCAUUUCGGCAGCCUUUGAAAAGGCAUUGCUCUGGCAGUAUAAAAGGCCUUUAGGGCAUCCCCGGAUGGUGUUGUCUGUUCAGACUGAAAGCCUGCCUUGCAGCCAUGCUGAUCCCGUGACAUCCGGCCCCAGAUACCCCGCUGAAAGCAGAAGUCACUGAGGAACCAGAGGGAAAUGUGUGAAUGCAAGACUGUGGUGAGCUCCAGCUGAUCCCUGCUAAGGAUGUGUCAGGCACUUGGUAUCACAGGUAUGUCUUUCCUUCCCAGGGGAAAAAUUUACAGGCAGUCUUUGGGAAAUCAAAGAUAAAUGCAUGUUUGAUGAGUUAAAUGUACCAAAGCGCCAAAUUGUUCCCAUCCCAGAUGAAACUUUGUGCAAGAAAUGACACACCAGAUCUGCCUUGCAUGGAUAACCACAAAUAGCAAUUACAGAAUUACCUCCUGGGCAUGUUUUUUAUGGUGAAACUCUGUGGUGGGCAGAGUAGAAGAGGUCAAACUUGUCAGUCACAGCAGUGUCUCCUGCUUUGAAGAUCAGUGAAUUUGUCAGUUAUAGUCAGGAGAAAUGAGGCACCAGAACCAGCCCACGCACAACAGUUCACAGGCAAAGAUUCAGGGAGGUUUAGAUCCAUGGUCUUGAUACACUUC